rnacentral:rRNA from 1 species
UACAGAGGUCCCAAGCGUUGUUCGGAUUCACUGGGCGUAAAGGGUGCGUAGGCGGUCGGGUAAGUCUGAUGUGAAAUCUCACAGCUUAACUGUGAAACUGCAUUGGAUACUAUCUGGCUCGAGGAAUGGAGGGGAGACUGGAAUACUUGGUGUAGCAGUGAAAUGCGUAGAUAUCAAGUGGAACACCAGUGGCGAAGGCGAGUCUCUGGACAUUUCCUGACGCUGAGGCACGAAAGCCAGGGGAGCAAACGGG